rnacentral:rRNA from 1 species
AUGACGUCAAGUCAUCAUGGCCCUUAUGUCCAGGGCGACACACGUGCUACAAUGGCCGGCACAACGGGAAGCGAGUUCGCGAGGACGAGCGGAUCCCUUAAAGCCGGUCGCAGUUCGGAUUGAAGUCUGCAACUCGACUUCAUGAAGCUGGAAUCGCUAGUAAUCGUGGAUCAGCCAAGCCGCGGUGAAUACGUUCCCGGGCCUU